AGGAAAUAUGAGGGAUCUCUUUAUCAAUUUUGCCAAAAUGGCAAAGGAAAAUUCUGGCAUUCGGUUUCGAGUUUCCAGGGUUUUCGGCCUUGAGCUGCCUACGCUCCAAAACCCUCCUCCUUUCCUUAACCCCUCUUCCCCACUGUCUCUCCCUUUCUGAAAGGCAUAUCAACCAUUGCAUAGGAGAGAGGGGAAGAGAGGAAACUUUGCUUUAUAUCCAAUCCAAUUUGUAGAUAGUAUAAGCCAUGUCGGCACCCGAAGCUCCGGUUAAUUAUGUCGGUGUCGCCCGAUCCUCCGCUGCCUUCCGCCUCAUGAAGCAGAUGGGAUGGGAAGAAGGAGAAGGCUUGGGCAAAGAUAAACAAGGGAUCAAAGGAUACAUCAGGGUUAAGAACAAGCAAGAUAAUGCGGGUAUUGGAACUGAGAAGCCAAAUAACUGGGCAUUUGAUACCACUCAGUUCGAUAACAUCCUCAAAAAAUUAAAAGUGCAAGCAGGUAAUGUCAUGAAGGACGAAGGUGAAGGAGAAGAUGGGGCAGAAGCAGAUGCAAUUUCCAAGAGCUCCAGUGACAAUCAGGAUAAAGAAGUGAAGGUUACUCGGCCUCAGGGAAGAUACAAGAAAAGAGAGAGGGGGAAGCAUGUUCAAGCCUAUUCUUCUCAGGAUCUUGAAGGAAUCCUUGUCAAAAGGGCAGUUUCUCCUAUUCCACAUAAAGAGGAGGAUGUAGCUAACUCAGAGGAGGAUGUGGCUAACUUAGUGGAGAAUGUGGAGAGCCACAUACCGGAUAGUGAAGGGAAAGCAGAUCAACAUUACCAAGUAGUUUCACCCGAAUGGUGGGGUUUCAAAAGAGGAUUUGUUUCUGGUGGUUUUCUUGGAGCUGAAGCUCGGAGAAGGAAGGCCAUAGAAAGAACUCGGAAUGGUGAUCAAAGGACUGCAUUCCAUGAAGAGGAUCAAGAAAAUCUUUAUAAACUCGUCCAAGGAAACCAGGAAGUUACUAAGUUUGACGUCCUUCACUGCAGAAUAAAGCUACAACUGGGAAGCAAGGGCUUGGUAUCAAAGACCGAACAAAGAAAAUUGCUGGCUGCUACUUCCAGGGAAAAAAGACUUCAUUUGACGACAAUGAUGGUGAGGAAUCCACAGAAUCCCGUUCUUCUCCAAAAAGAAAACAUGAUGAAUUAUCAGAGGUGGCAAAUGAUUGUAAUUCAAAUGUGAAGCUGAAAAAGUUAUGCAGACAACUUAUCAAGCAGGCACCUGGACAGUCAUUGAAGCUGAAGCAACUUAAAGUUCUUAUUGAUGAGCACUCAUCAGACGUUUUCUCUAACUUCUCUUCUAGGAAAGAAGCACUUGCUUUUUUAAAACGCAAGCUUCAAGGCAGUGACAAAUUAGUUGUUGAGGGAAAAAGAGUAUCUCUAUCUGUGAAGAAAUGGUGAAAGUUAGUUUUGACCCGAUUUCAGAUGCAUGUAACGUUAUGUACAUUGCUGCUGAGACUAGUUGGAUGGUAGGAACAUUUUGCAAGUGGUUCCUCAUUUAUUUUUAAUUUUUUUUGUACACCUCUUUUUAGUCCUUAAUUUCAGCUGCCACAUAAUAUGGAGUUUAGUUUUUUAGGCAUACAAUUGAUGGCUGGGAGAUAAUUGCAUUUUUUCUAGUUAUAUGAAAAUUGAUCCGAUUGUUUACUGCUUC